GACGAACGCUGGCGGCGUGCUUAACACAUGCAAGUCGAACGGAAAGGCCCUGCUUUUGUGGGGUGCUCGAGUGGCGAAGGGGUGAGACACAUGUGUGUAACCUGCCCUUGACUUUGGGAUAACUUCAGGAAACUGGGGCUUAUCGGGGAUAAGAGCUCCUGCUGGAGGGGGGUGGUUGGAAAGUUUCGGCGGUGGGGGGUGGGCUCGCGGCUUAUCAGCUUGUUGGUGGGGUAGUGGCUUACCAAGGCUUUGACGGGUAGCCGGCCUGAGAGGGUGACCGGCCACAUUGGGACUGAGCUACGGCCCAGACUCCUACGGGAGGCAGCAGUGGGGAAUAUUGCACAAUGGGCGGAAGCCUGAUGCAGCCACGCCGCGUGCGGGAUGACGGCCUUCGGGUUGUAAACCGCUUUCGCCUGUGACGAAGCGUGAGUGACGGUAACGGGUAAAGAAGCACCGGCUAACUACGUG
rnacentral:rRNA from 1 species